rnacentral:hammerhead_ribozyme from 1 species
AUCCAAUUGAUGAGUUCUAAAUAGGACGAAAUGUGAGUCAAACUGGAU